rnacentral:lncRNA from 1 species
GAAACGGAUGCAAUAUCGGGUCAAUGUUAUGUGAGGCUAUAGCUUGGUUGGGGGUCCGUGCAUUGCAGGAGGCAGGCAAGAAGAUGAUUUGUCUGUGGUGUCAAGAAAAAGGAGGUUUGUUUGUGCUGUUGGAUAAUAUAUUCAGAGUCGUUUGCUUUAAUCUUUUCUAGAUUGCCUGGUUGCACUGGUGCCACCGUGCCAGAACUUGGAGUUGUGAUUAUUCUGUGGGACUGAAGGUAUGUAAGUUAGUGCCUUUAACAAGUGUACGAAGCAUAGAAGAAACUUUCAUCAAAAACCCGGCCAUUGGAGUUUAAGACCGAUGCUGAACCAGAUACGGAAUCGAUUCCUCGUCAAUGACAUCAAUGUUAGAUGGAUCCCGCGAGAAAUACAUAAAAUGGC